AAAAAAUAAAUAAAAAAGAAAUACCAAUACCUAGAUUCAUCCCCAGAUAGUCUAAUUUUUUUUUGGUCUGGGGUAUGCAGGGCAUGACCUGUGCACCAGAAUAUUUUAAAAGCUCCUCAGAUAAUUCUAACACGCUGCUAAGGUUUAGAACAAUUUUUAAUUGCAAGAAAUAAAUAAAAGAAUCAUCCCACUGAAAUAACAUCCCACUGAAAUGUUGAUGGAAUUUUUAAAAAGAGCCUAUGUGUUAAGCAUUUUAAUUUAAAAAAAUACGACAGACCUAAUUCAAAAUCCCUGCUAACAGAUUUCCUAGGAGAGCAUCACUUUUGGAAUCCUAUUCCCUUGUACAUUUGUUAGUGAACAUUAGCCCUGACAAAGGUAAAAGAGAAUACACUGGUCAUUUAUCACUCACAGACUGAGGAAAUGCGAAAACCAGGCCAGAGGAGAAGAGCCUGAGAAGGGAAACCACACUGGCCAAGGUGCCAGAAACUUAUUUUUUGCUUUAGUGACUGACAGUUAUUUGUCUUCCACUAGUGAAGGAAGGCACGAUCGAGACUUUCAUACGCUUUAUAGUAAUUCGUAUCACCCAUCCCUUAGAGACUCCCUCAAUAUCAUGUACUCAUGGCUUUCUAACAGCUGAGAAAUGACCUGCUUUUCAGAUAACACCAUCCAGUCGGUUUUCUGUUGCUGCUGUUGCUGUUCAGUGCAGAAGCGACAAGUAAGAACACAGAUAAGCCUGAGCCCAGAUGAAGAGCUUCCAGAAAAACACACCCAGCGUCGCAGGCCAUGGCUCAGUCAAUUGUCAAAUAAGAAGCAAUCCAACACGGGCUGUGUGCAGCCAUCAAAACGAAAGCCACUGCCUCCCCUCCCACCCUCUGAGGUUGCUGAAGAGAAGAUCCAAGUCAAGGCACUUUAUGAUUUUCUGCCCAGAGAACCCUGUAAUUUAGCCUUAAGGAGAGCAGAAGAAUACCUGAUACUGGAGAAAUACAAUCCUCACUGGUGGAAGGCAAGAGACCGUUUGGGGAAUGAAGGCUUAAUCCCAAGCAACUAUGUGACUGAAAACAAAAUAACUAAUUUAGAAAUAUAUGAGUGGUACCAUAGAAACAUUACCAGAAAUCAGGCAGAACGUCUAUUGAGACAAGAGUCUAAAGAAGGUGCAUUUAUUGUCAGAGAUUCAAGACAUUUAGGAUCCUACACAAUUUCCGUAUUUAUAGGAGCUAGAAGAAGUACAGAGGCUGCCAUAAAACAUUAUCAGAUAAAAAAGAAUGACUCAGGACAGUGGUACGUGAGUGAAAGACACGUCUUUCAAUCAAUCCCCGAGUUAAUCUGGUAUCACCAGCAUAAUGCUGCCGGUCUCAUGACCCGUCUCCGAUAUCCAGUUGGGCUGAUGGGCAGUUGUUUACCAGCCACAGCUGGGUUUAGCUACGAAAAGUGGGAGAUAGAUCCAUCUGAGUUGGCUUUUAUAAAGGAGAUUGGAAGCGGUCAGUUUGGAGUGGUCCAUUUAGGUGAAUGGCGGUCACAUAUCCAGGUAGCUAUCAAGGCCAUCAAUGAAGGCUCCAUGUCUGAAGAGGAUUUCAUUGAAGAGGCCAAAGUGAUGACGAAAUUAUCUCAUUCAAAGCUAGUGCAACUUUAUGGGGUCUGUACACAGCGGAAGCCCCUUUACAUUGUGACAGAGUUCAUGGAAAAUGGCUGCCUGCUUAACUAUCUCAGGGAGAAUAAAGGAAAGCUUAGGAAGGAAAUGCUACUGAGUGUAUGUCAGGAUAUAUGUGAAGGAAUGGAAUAUCUGGAGAGGAAUGGCUAUAUUCAUAGGGAUUUGGCGGCAAGGAAUUGUUUGGUCAGUUCAACAUGCACAGUAAAAAUUUCGGACUUUGGAAUGACAAGGAGUUUUAAUGUGGGAAGUUUUUACAGAAGGAAAAAUGCCUUUUGAAAAUAAGUCAAAUUUGCAAGUCGUGGAAGCUAUUUCUGAAGGCUUCAGGUUAUAUCGCCCUCACCUAGCACCAAUGUCCAUAUAUGAAGUUAUGUACAGCUGCUGGCAUGAGAAACCCAAAGGCCGCCCUACGUUUGCAGAGCUGCUGCGGGCUCUCACAGAGAUUGCGGAAACCUGGUGACCCGAAACAGAAUGCCAACUCAAAGAGUCAUCUUGCAAAACUGUCACCUAUUGUGAACAUGUUCACCAUAUGUGGUCACUUAACGGUGAAUAUCUUUCUUCAUGGUUGCUGACUCUUGCAAACAGUGCAAAGAUCACAGUUUUUAAAACUUUUAAAAAUUUAAGAGUAUGCAGACAAUCAUUUUGCUAUGUGUGAGAGGGACUUGCACACUCUUAUUUUUCUGUAAAAUAUUUCACAUCCCGAAUGUGAAGAAGUGAAAAAGGCUUCUCAGCAGUCUUCAUAGUGGCUGCUCUUCAUGAUCAUAGCCCCAGGAACCCUUGAGGUUACAUGAAAACCUGACCCUUCACAAGGCUGAAAAUGUUUCCUUCUUGAAGAGGAGUGACAUUCAUCACUUCGGUGAUCCAUGCAUAGAAGAUGAAAAUGAAUUCUGCCAACUCAUGGGACAAAGGGGCCUCCCUUGAAGAAUUUCAUGUUUUUGGGCUGUGUAGAUCUUUAUAGUAAAUGCACCUUUAUAAACCACAUGAAUGUUAGUGUUCUGGAAAUAUCUUUUGUUAAUAUGAUCUUCCUAUGUUAUUUAACAAAUUGUUUUUGCACAUAUCUGAUUAUAUUGAAAGCAAUUUUUUUGCAUUCGAGUUUUAAACACUGUUAUAAGAUGUAGCCAAAGCUCACCUUUGAACAGAUCCUGGUGACAUCCUAUUUCCAGGAAAAUCCAGAACCUGAUUUUAGUUCUGUGAUUUUACACUUUUUAUAUGUGAGAUAAGACAGUUUCAGAGGCCUUAUUUUGUCAUAGUAAGUGUCUCCUGUAAUUUUCAGGAAGAUGACUUGUUCUUUCUAGAAGAGGAGACAAAAGUAAGAUAGCCAAAUGGGACAUCAAGCUCCGUUGUUUUGGAAAUCCAGGAUUUUGAAUUCAGGAUGAAACAACCAGCAAUCACAGUUAAAUCUUAACUUUGCCUGCACUCUUUGUAGGAAUGAUCAGAGAUUUGUCUUUAUCAGUCUGAGUGCUUCAGGAGUACAAUAGGAAGAAAGAUACUGGAGAACACACAAGUGUAAUUACCAUGAAGUCUAACAACAGGAGCCCAUUAUUUGUGUACUUUCCCACCCUGUAUCAUGGUUCUCUGGGAACAAGCUUUAUUAUUCUCAUUAGUGUUUAAAUUGUUGAUUGUCAGUAGUUGUGACUUUUAAAUUAUAUUUCCCCACUCAAAGAAUGGUAUCUUUAUAUAUCAAUGACAUUCAAUAAAUGUGUAUUAUUUCUAAUGAGAAUCAGGUACAAGAAGAUACUUGAUAGUUCAAGUGGUGGUCUCAGAAAUGUUUGGGCUGAAUGUGGUGGCUCAUGCCUAUAAUCCCAGCACUUUGGGAGGCUGAGGUGGGAAGAUAGCUUGAGUCCAGUUUGAGACCAGCCUGGGCAACAAAGUGAGAUCCCGUCUCUA